GACGAACGCUGGCGGCGUGCCUAAUACAUGCAAGUCGAACGCAGUGGGGACGGGUGAGUAACACGUGGGUAACCUCCCAUCAGAGGGGAUAACACUUGGAAACAGGUGCUAAACCGAUACUGAUGGAUGAACCCGCGGUGCAUUAGCUAGUUGGUGAGGUAACGGCUGAACAAGGCCACGAUGCAUAGCCGACCUGAUAGGGUAAUCGGCCACACUGUGACUGAGACACGGCUCAGACUACUACGUGAGGCAGCAGUAGUGAAUCGUCGGCAAUGGACGAAAGUCUGACCGAGACACGCCGAGUGAGUGAAGAAGGUUUUCGGAUCGUAAAACUCUGUUGUUAGAGAAGCGGUAUCUAACCAGAAAGCCACGGCUAACUACGUGCCAGCAGCCGCGGUAAUUC
rnacentral:rRNA from 1 species